CCCAGGAAACACCCAAAUCUGAGAUUUGUGUCCCCUACCAAUGUGCUGAUGGGUACUUUGGCUGGCAUUGCAAGUUUCAGUGCCAGUGUGCUACAGAUGGAGAAGUGUGUGACAAAAGAACUGGCUUCUGUCCUAGUGGCUGUGCUGGAAACAACUGGGGACCUGGAUGCCUGCUGGAUUCAUCAUGUUAUUAUGACUUGAG